rnacentral:rRNA from 1 species
CUACGGGGCGCUGCAGUGGGGAAUAUUGCACAAUGGGCGCAAGCCUGAUGCAGCCAUGCCGCGUGUAUGAAGAAGGCCUUCGGGUUGUAAAGUACUUUCAGCGGGGAGGAAGGGAGUAAAGUUAAUACCUUUGCUCAUUGACGUUACCCGCAGAAGAAGCACCGGCUAACUCCGUGCCAGCAGCCGCGGUAAUACGGAGGGUGCAAGCGUUAAUCGGAAUUACUGGGCGUAAGGCGCACGCAGGCGGUUUGUUAAGUCAGAUGUGAAAUCCCCGGGCUCAGCCUGGGAACUGCAUCUGAUACUGGCAAGCUUGAGUCUCGUAGAGGGGGGUAGAAUUCCAGGUGCAGCGGUGAAAUGCGUAGAGAUCUGGAGGAAUACCGGUGGCGAAGGCGGCCCCCUGGACGAAGACUGACGCUCAGGUGCGAAAGCGUGGGGAGCAAACAGGAUUAGAUACCCCGGUAGUC